GGAGAGGUGCCAGAGCGGUCGAAUGGGCUGGUUUCGAAAACCAGUGUAGUCGUAAGGCUACCCAGGGUUCGAAUCCCUGCCUCUCCGCCA
rnacentral:tRNA from 1 species